AUGGAAAAACAUCUGAUCAGUGUCCUCUCUACAGUCAGUGAAGACACUGUCCCUAAGGAUGAAUGGAGCUGGCUUGUCCUCUUCCUCCUGUCAGUAAUUAGAGGUGUCUGCUCCCAGGUCCAGCUGCAGCAGUCUGGAGCUGAGCUUGGGAGACCUGGGUCCUCAGUGAAGUUGUCUUGCAAGGCUUCUGGCUAUACCUUCACUGACUACUAUAUGCAGUGGGUGAAGCAGAAGCCAGGACAGCAGCUGGAGUGGAUUGGAGGUAUUUAUCCUGGAAAUGGUAAUACUUACUACAAUCAGAAGUUACAGGGCAAGGCCACACUCACUGCAGACAAAUCCUCCAGCACAGCCUACAUGGAGCUCAGCAGCCUGACAUCUGAGGACACCGUGGUCUAUUACUGUGCGAGAGACACAGUGUUGCAACCACAUCCCGAGUGUGUCAGAAACCCUGGAGGAGCAAGAAGCUGCCCUGGGACUGAAAUGAAAGAGAAGAUUAGACUGGAGACUUGCUCAAAAAUAAUCAUUUUGAGCAUUUAUUUUUCUGCCUCAUCACAGUACUUUAGUGCCCUUGUCAACAUUGUAAAAGGACACCUAUGA